GGAGUUUCUCCUGGUUGGAGAAAGCCCUCUCUCCAGGAUAAAAAACCUCCACCCAUCAAUCUUCUUGAUUCUUCUUUUUGUUGAUCGGAUUGCUUUUCAUAAUAAGAGAUAUUAAAGGAUAGGACAAUGAGGGUGAGGUUAGGGAAGAGGGUCAACAGGGUUUCCCUAGCUAAAAGAUACAGGUCGAUGGCAGGUCCUUUCAGCCCUUGUCUAACCGCCAGGACUGGCCUGGAAGACCUCUCUGUCUGAUGGCUUUUUCUAUUCCAGGCUAAACUAAGAUGCAGCAAUAUAUCUAGGUAUAGCUGGCACAGAUGAAGAGAUUCUGGCUUUGGGACUGCCCUAUCCUACCCUUCAGGGUAAAACCCUCUCAGAAUCUUCAUCACUCCAUAGAUGUUUGCAGGGUUCUUCUCUACAGCUCAAAGAAACACUUCUAUCACUAAAACUGCAAUGCUGACAGAAGUUUAAAAAGAGAAAAUGCAAGGACAGAAGAGUAGGAAUGUCAGCUGGCUAACUCUGGAGUUCAGUGACUCUUCAAAGACAAGGUAGAAUAAUUUUCCAUAAAGGAUAUAACAUAGGCCUUCUAAAGUAAAAAUUA
rnacentral:lncRNA from 1 species